UGGGGAAUAUUGCACAAUGGGCGAAAGCCUGAUGCAGCGACGCCGCGUGAGUGAAGAAGUAUUUCGGUAUGUAAAGCUCUAUCAGCAGGGAAGAAAAUGACGGUACCUGACUAAGAAGCCCCGGCUAACUACGUGCCAGCAGCCGCGGUAAUACGUAGGGGGCAAGCGUUAUCCGGAUUUACUGGGUGUAAAGGGAGUGUAGGUGGCAUAACAAGUCAGAAGUGAAAGCCCGGGGCUCAACCCCGGGACUGCUUUUGAAACUGUUAGGCUUGAGUGCAGGAGAGGUAAGCGGAAUUCCUAGUGUAGCGGUGAAAUGCGUAGAUAUUAGGAGGAACACCAGUGGCGAAGGCGGCUUACUGGACUGUAACUGACACUGAGGCUCGAAAGCGUGGGGAGCAAACAGG
rnacentral:rRNA from 1 species